CACCUACGGGAGGCAGCAGUGAGGAAUAUUGGUUAAUGGACGAGAGUCUGAACCAGCCAAGUAGCGUGAAGGAUGACUGCCCUAUGGGUUGUAAACUUCUUUUAUAUGGGAAUAAAGUUUUCCACGUGUGGUUUUUUGUAUGUACCAUAUGAAUAAGGAUCGGCUAACUCCGUGCCAGCAGCCGCGGUAAUACGGAGGAUCCGAGCGUUAUCCGGAUUUAUUGGGUUUAAAGGGAGCGUAGGUGGAUUGUUAAGUCAGUUGUGAAAGUUUGCGGCUCAACGGUAAAAUUGCAGUUGAUACUGGCU
rnacentral:rRNA from 1 species